AAGUGCCUGCGGUGUACGAGGAGCGGAUACUAUAUGGGAUCCACAUUAUACGAAAGGGAGUUCGCGUCUGUACCGAUAUGCAAAGCCUGGCCGUACGGACGUGCGGCGCAAAUACAGGAAGUCUGACGCGGUAAGCAGAACACCCACCUGCCAAAAGCGGGUUCGACAUUUUCCGUUCACGGCAUCGGCGGGUAAACG
rnacentral:other from 1 species